rnacentral:lncRNA from 1 species
AUGUAUCUUUUCUUUCUAUAACAGUUUUUUCCCCUUAAAAACAUAACAAUAAUUUGAUAUGUCAAUAAAUACUCACCAACUCUAAUAAACUCUCCUAGGUGUCAUUCUUAUGGCCUACGGCUCCUGCUGGAAAGAGCAUCGUCGCUUCGCCCUGAUGACCCUGAGAAACAUUGGACUGGGAAAGCAGUCCAUGGAGGAGAGGAUUCUUGGGGAGAUAUCACACAUCAUUGCACCCUUGGAGAAAAGCAUUGAGAGGAGAUGAUGGAUCUUUUUCAGAGGCCCAACUCAUCUUUUACCUCCUGAACUUUCACUUUGCUGGAACAGACACCACCUCCAAGACACUGCUCACUGCAUUCCUCUACCUCAUGACCCAUCCAGAGAUUCAGGGUCUGUUUGCUUUCUUUUCUAAUGUUUACAUUCAAAUUGUGUUUUUCUACUUCUACAGUUGUUGUAGAUUAUUUUUGCAAGAACAAUGGUGUCAGGCAAUGUUGAUAAUCCCUUUUGACUUUAGCCCUUUUUGUGUUGUUGCCAACAUCAAUCAAAUUUAUUUAUAGAGCCCUUCUUACAUCAGCUGAUGUCACAAAGUGCUGUACAGAAACCCAGCCUAAAACCCCAAAC